GGCUUGUUGAGUAUAAUUUCAAGUCUGACCUGCCCACUGAUAGUUUAAAUGGCCGCGGUAUAUUGACCGUGCAAAGGUAGCAUAAUCACUAGUUUUUUAAUUGAAAGCUUGAAUGAAAGGUUUGAUGAAAAAAUAUCUGUCUCUGGAAAAAUUUAUUAGAAUUUUAUUUUUUAGUUAGAAGGCUCAAAUUUACAUGGAAGACGAGAAGACCCUAUAGAGUUUUAUAGUUGUAUUUAUACUAGAUUAGUUUGGAUAUAUAAGUAUUUAUUAUAGGUAUAAUUAUUUUAUUGGGGUGAUAGGAAAAUUAAGUUAACUUUUCUUUAUUGUAAUAUUUAUUUAUAAGUAUAUGAUCCUAUAAUAGAUUACAAGAUUAAAUUACCUUAGGGAUAACAGCGUAAUUAUUUUAAGAGUUCUUAUCAAAAAAAUGGAUUGCGACCUCGAUGUUGGAUUAAAAUUGAUUAUUGGUGUAGAAGCUAGUAAAUUAGGUCUGUUCGACCUGUAAAAUUUUACAUGAUCUGAGUUUAGACCGGUGUGAG
rnacentral:rRNA from 1 species